AGUGAACGCUGGCGGUAGGCCUAACACAUGCAAGUCGAACGGCAGCACAGUAAGAGCUUGCUCUUACGGGUGGCGAGUGGCGGACGGGUGAGGAAUACAUCGGAAUCUACUUUUUCGUGGGGGAUAACGUAGGGAAACUUACGCUAAUACCGCAUACGACCUACGGGUGAAAGCAGGGGAUCUUCGGACCUUGCGCGAUUGGAUGAGCCGAUGUCGGAUUAGCUAGUUGGCGGGGUAAAGGCCCACCAAGGCGACGAUCCGUAGCUGGUCUGAGAGGAUGAUCAGCCACACUGGAACUGAGACACGGUCCAGACUCCUACGGGAGGCAGCAGUGGGGAAUAUUGGACAAUGGGCGCAAGCCUGAUCCAGCCAUUCCGCGUGGGUGAAGAAGGCCUUCGGGUUGUAAAGCCCUUUUGUUGGGAAAGAAAAGCAGCAGGUUAAUACCCCGCUGUUCUGACGGUACCCAAAGAAUAAGCACCGGCUAACUUCGUG
rnacentral:rRNA from 1 species